GAGUAUAGAGGGUGUAGUUAAAGGUGAGUGAGUGGGAGAGUGGAGUAUAGGGGGUGUAGUUAAAGGUGAGUGAGUGGGAGAGUGGAGUAUAGGGGGUGUGGUUAAAGGUGAGUGAGGGGGAGAGUAGAAUAUAGGGGUGUGGUUAAAGGUGAGUGAGGGGACAGUAGAGUAUAGGAGGUGUGGUUAAAGGUGAGUGAGGGGGAGAGUAGAGUAUAGGGGGUGUGGUUAAAGGUGAGUGAGGGGGAGAGUAGAGUAUAGGGGGUGUAGUUAAAGGUGAGUGAGGGGGAGAGUAGAGUAUAGGGGGUGUGGUUAAAGGUGAGUGAAGGGGAGAGUAGAGUAUAGGGGUGUGGUUAAAGGUGAGUGAAGGGGAGAGUAGAGUAUAGGGGAUGUGGUUAAAGGUGAGUGAGGGGGAGAGUAGAGUAUAGAGGGUGUAGUUAAAGGUGAGUGAGGGGGAGAGUAGAGUAUAGCGUCG